rnacentral:rRNA from 1 species
AUUGAACGCUGGCGGCAUGCCUUACACAUGCAAGUCGAACGGCAGCACGGGAGCAAUCCUGGUGGCGAGUGGCGAACGGGUGAGUAAUGUAUCGGAACGUGCCUAGUUGUGGGGGAUAACGUAGCGAAAGCUACGCUAAUACCGCAUAAGAUCUAAGGAUGAAAGCGGGGGAUCGCAAGACCUCGCGCAGUUAGAGCGGCCGAUCUCGGAUUAGGUUGUUGGUGGGGUAAAGGCCUACCAAGCCUGCGAUCUGUAGCCGGUCUGAGAGGACGACCAGUCACACUGGGACUGAGACACGGCCCAGACUCCUACGGGAGGCAGCAGUGGGGAAUUUUGGACAAUGGGCGCAAGCCUGAUCCAGCAAUGCCGCGUGCAUGAAGAAGGCCUUCGGGUUGUAAACUGCUUUUGUACGGAGCGAAAAGGUCUCCUCUAAUACAGGGGGCUCAUGACGGUACCGUAAGAAUAAGCACCGGCUAACUACGUGCCAGCAGCCGCCGUAA